GCGCCGGUCGUCUAGCCUGGUCUAGGACAUCGGCCUGCCGCGCCGAAAACCCGGGUUCGAAUCCCGGCCGGCGCACCA
rnacentral:tRNA from 1 species